CUUUUCACCUCGAUCUUCUCCCCGAUGCAGGUCGCCAUAUUUCCAGGCUCUGGCCUGGGUUCUCCGGAUUAGCUUCCUUCACGCAGUCCCUUCGAGGCAGCGCUCCAAGCAGCCAGCCGGCCUUGGCGCCCAUCAGGCUCGGCUCUCUAAACCGCCGCUCCAGGCGACGACGCUGAAACCACGGAAAGUUCUCCCUGACACCUUCCGAGGCCUGGGCGGUGCCUCUGGGCUCCCAUUUUGAAAAUCUCCCGCCGCUUGCCGUCCGAGCUAGGCUGGUGGUGACGUAACGAGAUGGAUCGCUCCGGAUAGGCUGCGCCGGGGCGCGCAUGCGCGGCAGACCUUCCUUUGCGGCCGGCCCAGGGUUCUAGACUUCGGGGCCAAGGGCCGGAAGCGCUGCGGAGAGUUUAGUUCGGGCGGGAGGCUGUCUCGGGCCCACUCUCGGAAGAACUUCUGCAAGACGGGUAAAAGAGCAGGCCUUAAAGAUGGGACACUUAUGGCUGAUCGGUUACUUCACGGUCCGAAAUACCACUUCUAAUUCCGGAAAGGGUUUAAAACUAUUUUAAAAUGUCAAGCGUUUAAGACUUGACGGAACAGGGCAAAAAACAUUACCUUCCUUUAAGGAACACCGUUUACACCACUACCGCUUAUUCCGUAGUUUGUUAUAACUGUAGUUAAUGUGUACGGUACCUUAAGAAAACGAACUCCAUUCUUUAUUUUGGCAAACUCCUAAGUAUUUAAUAUUAUAAUGUCAUUUGUAUAAUAAUUUACAGUUAGAUCUCUCAUACACAUAAUUUGUAUGGAUCAAAAGAGACCUCUGUAAGUUUGGGAUGGUGUUUUGCAGGUGAGAAAAGUGUGAUGCUUAAGGAAGGAUAUUUAACAAACAGAAGUAGCGCACAAACUUAGAUCUUCUGUUAUUAAGUGAAAGCUCUUUUCCUUGAUGUUAGUGUGUAUUUCUUUUUCUUUUUCUUUUUUCUUUUGAGAUGGAGUCUCGCUCUGUCGCCCAGGCUGGAGUGCAGUGACUCGAUCUCGGCUCACUGCAGCCUCCAUCUCCUGGGUUCCAGCGAUUCUCCUUCCUCAGUCUCCCGGGUAGCUGGGAUUUACAGGUACGCGCCACCACGACUGGCUAAUUUUUGUAUUUUUAGUAGAGACGGGGUUUCACCAUGUUGGCCAGGCUGGUCUCGAACUCCUGACCUCAGGUGAUCCGCCUGCGUCGGCUUCCCAAAGUGCUAGGAAUACAGGCGUGAGCCUCCAUGCCCGGCCCAUUUUUUUUUUUAAACUUUUUAGUUUCAAAUAAUUUUAAGCUUACAGAAAAGUUGUAAAAAUAAUAGAGAACUCCUGUUGUCCUUUACUCAGAUUAACCAAUUCUUAACAUUUUGCCACACUUGUUUUUACUAUUCUUCAUGUGUAAUAUACAUGUAUAAAUAUAUAAAUAAGCCUAUUAUUUGUAUUUUAUGAAUCAUUCUAAAAUAGGUUACAUACACUAUGCUCUUAUACCCCUUAUUUCUAAAGUGUGAAUUUCUUAAGAACCAGGGUAUCCUCUUGUAUGUUUAUCAAAUUAAGGAUAUUUAGCAUUGAUACAAUAUUUAUAUUUAAUCUAAUCUACAGUUCAUAUUCCGAUUUGUCAAUUGUUCCAGUAAUGUCUUUAUUUAACAUUUUUUCCUUCCAGUAUAGAUCUAGUACAGGAUCACAUACCGUAUUUAGUUACCAUAUCUUUUUAAUUUCCUUUAAUAUGGAAGAGUUCCUCAGCAUUUGUAUUUUUGUGACAUUGAGAUUUUUGAAGAGUGCAGGCCAAUUAUUUAUCAUUCGUUCAUUUGUUCAUUCCAGUAUUACUGAGGUAUAGUUGACAAAAAUUGUAUUUAUUCAAGUUGUACAGCAUGAUGAUUUCAUAUACAUUGUGAAAU
rnacentral:lncRNA from 1 species